CUGAAAACCACUUCAGGAUAGAUGAAUCUCUUAGGUUUUAUCAUAGGAUUUAGAGUUGAAAGGUACUCAGAGGUCAUCUGGCCCAACCAUUUUCAUUUCUAGAUGAAGUUAAGGAUUAAGAUGCUGAGACUGCCAUAAAGGAUGAAAACUUUAGAGUCAAACAUCACUUAUCAAGGUCACAUAGCUACAGAAAUUAAUGGCAGAGCCCAGUCUUCGAAUAAAUACAACAGAGAAAAGAUGGUCCUUCACAGUGCCUCACAUGCUAUUACUAAUUGAACCAACAACAGAGGAUUAUUGAACUAAUAAGUAAUGGAAACCCAUUUAUUGAAAUACAUGGCCAAGAGGACCUUGAGAUUUCCAGAAAUGGAACCUUCAGGUAAAAUAUAUUUUUUAAAAAGAACUUCCUCAUUUGCGCAUUAUAGAAAAGAGGA
rnacentral:lncRNA from 1 species